rnacentral:rRNA from 1 species
UACGUAGGUGGCAAGCGUUGUCCGGAUUUAUUGGGUUUAAAGGGUGCGUAGGCGGUUCACUAAGUCAGCAGUGAAAUACGGCAGCUCAACUGUCGAGGUGCUGUUGAUACUGGUGGACUUGAGUACUGAUGAGGUAGGCGGAAUGGACGGUGUAGCGGUGAAAUGCUUAGAGAUCGUCCAGAACACCGAUAGCGAAGGCAGCUUACUAAGGAGUAACUGACGCUGAGGCACGAAAGUGUGGGGAUCAAACAGG